rnacentral:rRNA from 1 species
GUAGAACGCUGAAGAGAGGAGCUUGCUCCUCUUGGAUGAGUUGCGAACGGGUGAGUAACGCGUAGGUAACCUGCCUGAUAGCGGGGGAUAACUAUUGGAAACGAUAGCUAAUACCGCAUAACAAUUUUUGUUGCAUGACAAGAAUUUGAAAGGUGCAAUUGCACCACUAUCAGAUGGACCUGCGUUGUAUUAGCUAGUUGGUGGGGUAACGGCUCACCAAGGCGACGAUACAUAGCCGACCUGAGAGGGUGAUCGGCCACACUGGGACUGAGACACGGCCCAGACUCCUACGGGAGGCAGCAGUAGGGAAUCUUCGGCAAUGGGGGCAACCCUGACCGAGCAACGCCGCGUGAGUGAAGAAGGUUUUCGGAUCGUAAAGCUCUGUUGUAAGAGAAGAACGGAUGUGAGAGUGGAAAGUUCACAUCGUGACGGUAACUUACCAGAAAGGGACGGCUAACUACGUGCCAGCAGCCGCGGUAAUACGUAGGUCCCGAGCGUUAUCCGGAUUUAUUGGGCGUAAAGCGAGCGCAGGCGGUUAGAUAAGUCUGAAGUUAAAGGCUGUGGCUUAACCAUAGUACGCUUUGGAAACUGUUUGACUUGAGUGCAAGAGGGGAGAGUGGAAUUCCAUGUGUAGCGGUGAAAUGCGUAGAUAUAUGGAGGAACACCUGUGGCGAAAGCGGCUCUCUGGCUUGUAACUGACGCUGAGGCUCGAAAGCGUGGGUAGCGAACAGGAUUAGAUACCCUGGUAGUCCACGCCGUAAACGAUGAGUGCUAGGUGUUAGGCCCUUUCCGGGGCUUAGUGCCGCAGCUAACGCAUUAAGCACUCCGCCUGGGGAGUACGACCGCAAGGUUGAAACUCAAAGGAAUUGACGGGGGCCCGCACAAGCGGUGGAGCAUGUGGUUUAAUUCGAAGCAACGCGAAGAACCUUACCAGGCCUUGACAUCCCGAUGCCCGCUCUA